UAUAAAAUAUAACUACGUUAUAAUAUUAUAAAUUAGCUACGCGAUAUGUGAGUUUUCAAAUCUAUCUAUAUAUAAUAUGUGUAAUAAUAUUAUGCUCAAUAUGUAUAGCGACACACCAUAUCAUCAUUAUCACACGACAUCCACAGGUUGCAUAUUCUGCCCCCCGGUCAUGAGUCCAAAAAACACGCGAAGAAAUACAAUUUCACGUCAAACGGGUGUACACGGCGACCACUUCUAAGCCGGCGCAGUAUCUAUAUAUAUACCUACGGAAGUCUACUCCAUUCCGACGCAAUUUUUUUUCUUCUACGCGUAUUUUUUCUUCGUACCUACGUAGAAAGCGAGCCGGAGAAAGUGACUAAUAUAUAUAUACGAUUUGUCAAUAUUAUUAUCAUCGUCAUCAUCAUCAUCAUCAUCAUCAUCAUCAUCAUCAUCUACUUCAUCACUGUCGUCGCGAUACACAACAGUAUAAUAAUAUUAAAUAAUAUAUGAACAGCUGCAGUUUUAAACAUCUGCAGCAGAUGCGCGGGUAAAUGGAAGUUUAAUGCAAGUUCCGCAGAAAGUUGCUACACGUUCGUCGAUAUACUCACGGAAUCUGUACACUUUUUAUUUAUGCUUAUAUUUAUAUUAAAAUAUAUGCACAUAAUAUUAUACAUUACACGAUAUAUCUAUACGACUAUAUACAUAUAAUAUGUAUAGCUAGUAUAGGUACUGCGAUUGAGUUUUUACAUUUCUCGGCGGUGUUUCUUCGCCUAAGAUUUAUCUCGCGCACGGAGGGGCUAUUUUUUCCCGCUAUUUUUCUUCCGCAUCGACUGACCCGUGUUACACGUUAUAUGCCACAUUAAAACGUAAAUUUUAUAAUAAUUAUUAUAAAACACUUUAUCGGUCCCCGUGAUAUAACAUGAUAAUAUAAUAACGUGUAGGU